rnacentral:lncRNA from 1 species
UAUGCACCUCAAUCCGUGUCUGGUCCAACCCCGACUCGAGGACUCAUGACAUCCUCUCCCACCUAAGCCAAAGUCGUCCCUGACGAGGCUAGGCGGUAUUUGUUGAUGAUAUACUCGAAUUAUCAUAGUUUGUCACCAUACUCCCAACUCACCUUUGAGUCAGAUAGUCCUCUCCAUCAGACUAAGUAUUGUACUCGAUUGCCUUUCUUUCUGUCUGUCUUGAUUUUAGUAAUCCUCUUGGUAUAAUGAACUUGUACGGCCAUUAGAGCCCAUCCGCUUUGAGCCCGAGAAGGUUCAGUUGUGUCCUCUUUGAAUGGUUUCAACUGACACAUGGAAUAUCGGAUGCACUUUCAAUUUGGAAGGCAGCGAUAAUCUAUACGCUAUCUAUCCAAUUCGAUGUGUAAUGAGGAAGGGACCUUCAUAUCUUCUCACAAGAGCUUUGUGAUAGUCCAACUUCAGUCUCAUAUGUUGGUAAAGCUUCAUUAGUACCUGAUUACCAACCUAAAACUCAGUUGCAUGCCAUUCUAUGUCAGCCCACUUCUUCAUCCAUUUGGUCGCCUUCACCAAAGAGAUCUGUACCAAAUCCAUAUCCUCCAGAUCUCUCACGAACCUGUAGACGGUUGGACUAUGUCCCAUGUAGUCUGCUGCGAUACUCCUUGGAGUGUCUGGUUGUUGUCCUAUUACCACCUCAAAUGAUGACUUACUCGUCAACUCCGAUCAUUGCAAGUUAUAGCUGAACUGGGCUUGAUCUAAAAGUCGCACC